GUAUGUGGCUUAGUGGUAGAGCAAAUACAUAUCAUGCACAAGGCCCUGGGUUCAAUCCCUAGUCACACACA
rnacentral:tRNA from 1 species